rnacentral:tRNA from 1 species
ACCUGGCUGGCUCAGUCAGUGGAGCAUGAGACUCUUGAUCUCAGAGUUCUAGGUUUGAACCCCACACUGGGUG